rnacentral:rRNA from 1 species
CCUACGGGUGGCAGCAGUGGGGAAUCUUGCACAAUGGGCGAAAGCCUGAUGCAGCAACGCCGCGUGGGUGAAGAAGGUUUUCGGAUUGUAAAGCCCUUUCGGCUGGGAAGCGGUACCAGAAGAAGAAGCACCGGCUAAUUUCGUGCCAGCAGCCGCGGUAAUACGAAAGGUGCAAGCGUUGUUCGGAAUGACUGGGCGUAAAGCGCACGUAGGCGGAUUCGCAAGUAGGAUGUGAAAUCCCCAGGCUUAACCUGGGAAUGGCAUUCUAAACUACGAAUCUUGAAUGCUUGAGAGGUUGGUGGAAUGCCUGGUGUAGGAGUGAAAUCCGUAGAUAUCAGGUGGAAUAUCGGAGGCGAAGGCGGCCAACUGGAUGCAUUGACGCUAAGGUGCGAAAGCGUGGGGAGCAAACAGGAUUAGAUACCCUAGUAGUC